CUCGUAAGAGAAAGUGAACACAGGUGCUGCAUGGCUGUCGUCAGCUCGUGUCGUGAGAUGUUGGGUUAAGUCCCGCAACGAGCGCAACCCUUGUCUUUAGUUGCUACGCAAGAGCACUCUAAAGAGACUGCCGGUGACAAACCGGAGGAAGGUGGGGAUGACGUCAAGUCCUCAUGGCCCUUAUGGGUAGGGCUUCACACGUCAUACAAUGGUGCAUACAGAGGGUUGCCAACCCGCGAGGGGGAGCUAAUCUCAGAAAAUGCAUCGUAGUCCCGGAUCGUAGUCUGCAACUCGACUACGUGAAGCUGGAAUCGCUAGUAAUCGCGGAUCAGAAUGUCGCCGGUGAAUACGUUCCCGGGUCUUGUAC
rnacentral:rRNA from 1 species